rnacentral:rRNA from 1 species
UACAGAGGUGGCAAGCGUUGUUCGGAAUUACUGGGCGUAAAGGGCGCGUAGGCGGCCUUGUAAGUCUCGUGUGAAAGCCCUCGGCUUAACUGAGGAUCUGCACGGGAUACUGCGAGGCUUGAGUUCGGGAGAGGAAAGCGGAAUUCCGGGUGUAGCGGUGAAAUGCGUAGAUAUCAGGAGGAACACCGGUGGCGAAGGCGGGUCUCUGGGCCGAUACUGACGCUGAGGAGCGAAAGCGUGGGGAGCGAACAGG